CAAAAGCCCAACAAAAACAACAGUCCACCAUACCUUAAUCCAAUUCCACUCUCAAAUUAUUUUAUCCAGUUUUUAUUAUUAUUACUUAAUAGAAAAAUUAGAAAGAGUAAUUUAGGGUUAAAAUUCGGUGAGACGGUUGAACUUCUUUGUCUUCUCUCAUCAACCGCGCGGCGACUUCUUCUCUCCUAUUGCAACAAUGAUCUCCUCCUUCGAUCUCUCCGUCUAAAAGCUUCACCCUGUUGCUACGAUUCCGUCCGACCUCGAUGUCCUCCAUCAGACGCCAAUUCACGGUUCUAUCUCACUCUCCCCCACCGUCUGUUCAUCUCAACGGCACAAUUUGCUUCAGAGACUAGCAUUUGA